AUUGAACGCUGGCGGCAGGCCUAACUCAUGCAAGUCGAACGAGUGGCGGCCGGGUGCUUAAUGUCUGGUCACCUGCCCGAUGGUGGUGGAUUACUACUGGACACGGUAGCUAAUACCCCAUCCCAUUGCAUGUGCCCAGAUGGGAUUAGCUAGUAGGUGGGGUAAAUGCUUACCUACGCGACGUUCCCUAGCUGGUCUGAGAGGAUGACCAGCCACACUGAAACUGAGACACGGUGCAGAGUCUUACGGGAGGCAGCAGUGGUGAAUUUUGCGCUAUGGGCGCAAGCCUGUUGCAGCCGUGACGCGGGUGUGAAAAGGGCCUUCGGGUUGUAAGGUACUUUCAGCGGGGAGGCGUUACUCGCAGAAUAAGCACCGGCUAACUCCGUACCAGCAGCCGCGGUAAUUC
rnacentral:rRNA from 1 species